UACGGAGGGGGCUAGCGUUGUUCGGAAUUACUGGGCGUAAAGCGCGUGUAGGCGGCCCUGCAAGUCGGAUGUGAAAUCCCACGGCUCAACCGUGGAAGUGCAUUCGAAACUGCAGGGCUAGAGCCUGGAGAGGAAGGUGGAAUGCUUGGUGUAGAGGUGAAAUUCGUAGAUAUCAAGCGGAACACCGGUGGCGAAGGCGGCCUUCUGGACAGUGACUGACGCUGAGA
rnacentral:rRNA from 1 species